rnacentral:rRNA from 1 species
AGUGAACGCUGGCGGUAGGCCUAACACAUGCAAGUCGAACGGCAGCACAGUAAGAGCUUGCUCUUACGGGUGGCGAGUGGCGGACGGGUGAGGAAUACAUCGGAAUCUACUUUUUCGUGGGGGAUAACGUAGGGAAACUUACGCUAAUACCGCAUACGACCUACGGGUGAAAGCAGGGGAUCUUCGGACCUUGCGCGAUUGAAUGAGCCGAUGUCGGAUUAGCUAGUUGGCGGGGUAAAGGCCCACCAAGGCGACGAUCCGUAGCUGGUCUGAGAGGAUGAUCAGCCACACUGGAACUGAGACACGGUCCAGACUCCUACGGGAGGCAGCAGUAGGGAAUAUUGGACAAUGGGCGCAAGCCUGAUCCAGCCAUACCGCGUGGGUGAAGAAGGCCUUCGGGUUGUAAAGCCCUUUUGUUGGGAAAGAAAUCCAGCCGGCUAAUACCUGGUUGGGAUGACGGUACCCAAAGAAUAAGCACCGGCUAACUUCGUG